GCUGGCUGGCUGGGAGCAGAGGGUCCAGGAAAAUUAUGUCAGUUGGGCAUAAUCCCAACUGAACCUAAGCCCCAGAUUCUGUACUGACUUGCCAUGAUACAGGAGAUGGGGAAUCUGCAGCAUGUACAACUUCUUGUGUCGAAGCUUGCAAGUAGACUCUGAAAGAUCCUGCUCUAGUGAUCUGUUCUUGCUUGAGGAUUCUAGAUCCUGAAGCCCAUCUAUUGUCUUCAGAGCUGAUGGACUCUUGACACUUAAUUUUUGCCCUGGACAUAGGCCUAUGAAGUGACAAAGGCCUGGGGCAAGUAUUUCCAUGUGGGGAAACUAUGUUAACACUGUUUGGGCUCAUUAUCUGAUGACUUGUGAGUGACAGAGAUAGGAAGUUGUUGAGCCCUUCUCUUGGGGCAGGAACUGUACUCAAAAGGCACACUGAUUCAUCCAUGCAUGGCCAGCUAUGUCUAACCCAGACCAGCAUGAAAAGCUCAGUGAUUUGUUUCUCAUACAUUUAGCUCACUCCACCAUGUGGGUGGGAUAUAAGCCAGGUGCACCACCUAUGCUUCCUUGCUUCCCAAGACAAAGUUCAAAGUCAGCUGCCCGAGGUAGUGUGUGCUUCAGACCAUCAUCAUCAGCCUCCUCCAGCGAUUCCUUCUGAGCCCCUCUCCUCUAUCAGCUCUUCUCAUCCUGCUCAGAUGCAAUGAUGCUUACUUCUGGUUGGCUGCCCAUUUGUAUUGCCUCAUUGUUUUCUCUGAGAAUGGGACUGACAGCACCAUCAGGAAGAGUGCCUGACCAAGCAAGCAGGAAGAAAAUCAGUCACACUAGGCCAUGCACUCCACCAAGAAUCGUUUGGACAUAUGUAUUGCUUUGCUUGUGUAAUGAAUUGUGAUACUACCAAUUCUGCCCCAGACCUUUUGUCUGAGUGCGCAGCAAGUGAGUACCAAGUGGAACAGUGAGGAAGUAGCACCUACGUGGCCUGGCCUGAAUUUCAACCUUCAUGAGAGCAUGUUGGAGGACUAGGUCCUGCAGAAGCAACUGCUUCAGUACAUGGGAUGGAGGAAGUUGAUCCAUUCUGCCAUUUAAAAGAUAUAGGAUCUUCUGAUACCUGCAUACAUUUAUCACAACAAUUUUAUAAACACAGAUGUUUCUACUGAGGCAUUUGUGUUACACCUUUUGAAUUGUCCAUGCUCUGGAUUCCAGUUCAGCCCUAUACCAGAGGUUCUCACACACAUCUGUCCAUACUGCUUUGGAUUCUUUUUU
rnacentral:lncRNA from 1 species